rnacentral:lncRNA from 1 species
ACCCUGCACUGUCAGGGUGUGCACACCUCUGUCAGCCUGUACCCAACACUGUGAGGCUGCACCCAACACCUUGGUGGUGUACCCACCUCCAUCAGGGUGUACCCAGCACCGUGAGGGUGUACCCACCUCCAUCAGCCUGUACCCACCUUUGUCAGGGGGUUCCCAGCACCGGGAGGGGGUACCCUGCGCUGUCAGGGUGUAGCCAACACAGCCUGUACCCAACACCAUCAGGGUGUACCCAGCACUGUGAGGCUGCACCCAACACCAGGAGGGUGUACCCACCUCCAUCAGGGUGUACUCACCUUUGUCAGGGUGUAGCCAACACCGUCAGGGUGUACCCACCUCCAUCAGGGUGUACCCACCUUCGUCAGCCUGUACCCAAUGCUGUCAGGUUGUACCCAACACCAGGAGGGUGUGCACACCUCCAUCAGGGUGUACCCAGCACCAGGAGGGUGUACCCAGCACUGUCAGCCUGUACCCAACACUGUGAGGCUGCACCCAACACCUUGACAGUGUACCCACCUCCAUCAGGGUGUACCCAGCACCAGGAGGGUGUACCCACCUCCAUGAUGGUGUACCCAAUGCUGUCAGCCUGUACCCAACACCGUUGGGUUGUACCCACCAUGCUGACGCGGUACCCGCCAUCGUUCAGCCCUACUCACCACC